AUGCAACGCAGUUUUAUAUUUUUAUAUUCAACGUUUGAUUAUUCGUCUUAUUUGAAAAAAAAUUAUAAUUAAUAUUUUUAUUGUUGUUAGAUAAUAAAAUAUGAAUAAUACUUUAUUUGUGACUAAUUUUUUAAAUCUUUUCAUAAAUUUUUCAAAUAAGAUGGAUGGUUAAAUGUUGGAUAAAAAUACCACGACUAUAUUUAUU
rnacentral:pre_miRNA from 1 species